AAAUGCUUGUGGUGGAUACCUAGGCACCAGAGACGAGGAAGGGCGUAGCAAGCGACGAAAUGCUUCGGGGAAUUGAAAAUAAGCAUAGAUUCGAAGAUUCCCGAAUAGGUCAACCUUUUAAACUGCUUGUUCAAUCCAUGAGCAGGCAAGAGACA
rnacentral:rRNA from 2 species